UAUCUCCAUUUCUCCAAUAGGCUGCUUGCAACUGCCUGGUGGGGGAAUCAUUGGUCGUGAAGGUUUCAGAUUUUGGGGUGGCCAGGCCUUACCUGAAGGUUCUUCCUCUGGCCAAGGCCUCCUUUAGGUCAUGAAAUGGGUACAGGAAUCGGAAAAUAUUGGAGUGUUCAUGUGGGAGGUGUUCAGCAAGAGCAAAAUUCCAUUUGAAGAUUUUUUUCAAUUCCGAGGCUGUGGAUAAAAUCUCAGCUGGACUGAGGCUCUUCAAACUCAAGAUGUCUCCCGAAAGAGUGUACAUGCUGAUAAACAACUGCUGACAACAAGCUGGGCAGUCAGAAUGGGGGGGGGGACGAAUGCAUCUGCUGCUGCCCGCACCUCCGCUUCCCCCCAGCGAGGACCCCCAACCUGGAUCUUUAUGGGACAACUUCCUGCGGAGCCUCCAGCUGGUCCCACGUUGCAGAGGAAGGAUCUGCUAGCUGCACCCCCCCCCCCCCAG